rnacentral:rRNA from 1 species
AUUGAACGCUGGCGGCAGGCCUAACACAUGCAAGUCGAGCGGUAACACAGGGAGCUUGCUCCUGGGUGACGAGCGGCGGACGGGUGAGUAAUGUCUGGGAAACUGCCUGAUGGAGGGGGAUAACUACUGGAAACGGUAGCUAAUACCGCAUAACGUCGCAAGAACAAAGAGGGGGACCUUCGGGCCUCUUGCCAUCAGAUGGGCCCAGAUGGGAUUAGCUAGUAGGUGGGGUAAUGGCUCACCUAGGCGACGAUCCCUAGCUGGUCUGAGAGGAUGAUCAGCCACACUGGAACUGAGACACGGUCCAGACUCCUACGGGAGGCAGCAGUGGGGAAUAUUGCACAAUGGGCGCAAGCCUGAUGCAGCCAUGCCGCGUGUAUGAAGAAGGCCUUCGGGUUGUAAAGUACUUUCAGCGGGGAGGAAGGUGUUGAGGCUAAUAACCUCAGCAAUUGACGUUACCCGCAGAAGAAGCACCGGCUAACUCCGUGCCAGCCGCCGCUGUAACAC